UCGAGGGGCAGCAUGAACUUAGCUUGCUGAGUUUGAUGGCGACCGGCGCACGGGUGAGUAACACGUAUCCAACCUGCCGACAACACUGGGAUAGCCUUUCGAAAGAAAGAUUAAUACCGGAUGGCAUAGUUUUCCCGCAUGGGAUGAUUAUUAAAGAAUUUCGGUCAUCGAUGGGGAUGCGUUCCAUUAGGUUGUUGGCGGGGUAACGGCCCACCAAGCCUUCGAUGGAUAGGGGUUCUGAGAGGAAGGUCCCCACAUUGGAACUGAGACACGGCCCAAACUCC
rnacentral:rRNA from 1 species